CCCUGUAUUAAAAAGUGAUUUGUGAUGCCUAUGCCAUGGCCAUUGAUACUAUAGGGAGAGGAUGCUACAUGCCUCUCCCUGUGUUUGGAUGGUCCGUUCCUUCCUGUCCUUGCUAAAUCCGGGUGAACACA
ensembl:snoRNA SNORA71 Small nucleolar RNA SNORA71